rnacentral:snRNA from 1 species
GUGCUCGCUUCAGCAGCACAUAUACUAAAAUUGGAAAGAUACAGAGAAGAUUAGCAUGGCCCCUGCACAAGGAUGACACGCAAAUUCGUGAAGCAUUCCAUAUUUUU